rnacentral:tRNA from 1 species
GUGAGUACAGCUCAGUGGUAGAGUGCAUGCUUAGCAUGCAUGAGGUCCUGGGUUCAAUCCCCAGUACCUCCA